AGCGGGGUGGGGAAGUCAGGUUAUCCCGCGGGGCUCAUAACCCCGAGAUCGGUGGUUCAAAUCCACCCCCCGCUACCA
rnacentral:tRNA from 4 species